CCUACGGGUGGCUGCAGUGGGGAAUAUUGGACAAUGGGCGAAAGCCUGAUCCAGCCAUGCCGCGUGUGUGAAGAAGGCCUUCGGGUUGUAAAGCACUUUCAGUGGGGAAGAAAGCCUUGGGGCUAAUACCCUCGAGGAAGGACAUCACCCACAGAAGAAGCACCGGCUAACUCCGUGCCAGCAGCCGCGGUAAUACGGAGGGUGCGAGCGUUAAUCGGAAUUACUGGGCGUAAAGCGCGCGUAGGCGGUCUGAUAAGCCGGUUGUGAAAGCCCCGGGCUCAACCUGGGAACGGCAUCCGGAACUGUCAGGCUAGAGUGCAGGAGAGGAAGGUAGAAUUCCCGGUGUAGCGGUGAAAUGCGUAGAGAUCGGGAGGAAUACCAGUGGCGAAGGCGGCCUUCUGGACUGACACUGACGCUGAGGUGCGAAAGCGUGGGUAGCAAACAGGAUUAGAUCCCCAGUAGUC
rnacentral:rRNA from 1 species